rnacentral:rRNA from 1 species
CCUACGGGGGGCAGCAGUGAGGAAUAUUGGACAAUGGGCGCAAGCCUGAUCCAGCCAUGCCGCGUGCAGGAUGACGGUCCUAUGGAUUGUAAACUGCUUUUGCACAGGAAGAAACAUCCCGACGUGUCGGGACUUGACGGUACUGUGAGAAUAAGGAUCGGCUAACUCCGUGCCAGCAGCCGCGGUAAUACGGAGGAUCCAAGCGUUAUCCGGAAUCAUUGGGUUUAAAGGGUCCGUAGGCGGUUUAGUAAGUCAGUGGUGAAAGCCCAUCGCUCAACGGUGGAACGGCCAUUGAUACUGCUAGACUUGAAUUAUUAGGAAGUAACUAGAAUAUGUAGUGUAGCGGUGAAAUGCUUAGAGAUUACAUGGAAUACCAAUUGCGAAGGCAGGUUACUACUAAUGGAUUGACGCUGAUGGACGAAAGCGUGGGUAGCGAACAGGAUUAGAUACCCGUGUAGUC